AGUGAACGCUGGCGGCAGGCCUAACACAUGCAAGUCGAGCGGCAGCGGGUUCCCGCGAGCGGAUGCCGGCGAGCGGCGGACGGGUGAGGAACACAUCGGAAUCUGCCUGGUUGUGGGGGAUAACGUAGGGAAACUUACGCUAAUACCGCAUGAGACCCUGAGUCGACGGACUGGGGGUGAAAGUGAGGGACCUUCGGCCUCACGCGACCAGAUGAGCCGAUGUCGGAUAGCUAGUUGGCGGGGUAACGGCCCGCCAAGGCGACGAUCCGUAGCUGGUCUGAGAGGAUGAUCAGCCACACUGGGACUGAGACACGGCCCAGACUCCUACGGGAGGCAGCAGUGGGGGAAUCUUGGACAAUGGGCGCAAGCCUGAUCCAGCCAUGCGCGUGGGUGAAGAAGG
rnacentral:rRNA from 1 species